ACAUUUCUUAUUCUUACUUUCUUAAUCUAUUUAUUUUUUAACCUAAAAAAGAAUAUUAACAAAAAUAUAUAUUCGAUUAACGCUACAUCUUUUCAGUAUAAAUAAUAACAAGAGGCAUCACAUUUGAUCAUAUAUUUUAAGUUGUAUUUUCCAAGCUGUCAGCCACAAUUAGAGUUGAUUACAAUUCUAAAAAUUUUGGAUCUGAAGAAAAAAUUUCAAUGAAAUCAGAAACAAGAAAAAUAGGCUAGGUGUCGCUCUGAUUUCG
rnacentral:lncRNA from 1 species